GGAGUCUGGGCCGUGUCUCAGUCCCAAUGUGGCUGAUCGUCCUCUCAGACCAGCUACAGAUCGUAGGUUUGGUAGGCCUUUACCCCACCAACUGCCUAAUCUGCCGCGGGCCAUUCUAUUAGCGAUAAAUCUUUCCCCCUCAGGGCUUAUCCGGUAUUAGCUGACGUUUCCAUCAGUUGUUCCGAACCAAUAGGUAUGUUCCCACGUAUUACUCACCCGUGCGCCACUCUCAUCCAAAAUAGCAAGCUACCUUGAAAUCCCGUUCAACUUGCAUGUGUUAAGCCUGCCGCCAGCGUCGUUCUGAGCCACGGAUCAAACUACU
rnacentral:rRNA from 1 species